UACGAGGGGGGCGAGCGUUGUUCGGAAUUAUUGGGCGUAAAGGGUGCGUAGGCGGCGCGGUAAGUCGGGUGUGAAAUCUCGGAGCUUAACUCCGAAACUGCAUUCGAUACUGCCGUGCUUGAGGACUGGAGAGGAGACUGGAAUUUACGGUGUAGCGGUGAAAUGCGUAGAUAUCGUAAGGAAGACCAGUGGCGAAGGCGGCAUCCUGGCCAUGUACUGACGCUCAGGGGCGAAAGCGUGGGGAGCAAACCGG
rnacentral:rRNA from 1 species